rnacentral:rRNA from 1 species
CGUAGGCGGCUUUAUAAGUCUGGAGUGAAAGUCCUCUUUUCAAGGGAGGAAUUGCUUUGGAAACUAUAGAGCUUGAGUGCAGGAGAGGUUAUCGGAAUUCCCGGUGUAGCGGUGAAACGCGUAGAUAUCGGGAGGAACAUCGGUGGCGAAGGCGGGUAACUGGACUGCAACUGACGCUGAGGCGCGAAAGUGUGGGGAGCAAACA